GUGACUUACAUGCCAACGGUAGGAGGUAAACUUAGAAGUAUUCAGGGCGCUGCCACACUGGCAAGGUUUUCAGAGGUCCCACUGGUCUGGGACAGGCCAGACAUACCUUCUAAGGUAAAGCACACGUAGCAGAAAUGUCGAGUCAUCUACUACCAAGAAAGAAACACAGUGCUAGGUGCACCCACCUCCUGGGACUUUAGGAGCUGCCCACUUGGCUUACGAUCUGGCAGAACUGAUGGCGACAGACUCCAUACCCACUACGAUGGAUAAGGAUGCCUCAUCGCGGCUCUGGCAGGCCCCAUGAGGAGAGUCACAGUGUAGACCUUUAGCAUUCUGGAGGAGAAGUUGGCAGUCUGCAACCCUGAAGAGGGCUGUCACCAGACGCUGAAUCCACUGGUGUCAUGAUCCUGGACUCCCCAACCUCCAGAACCAUGAGAAAUAAAUGUUUGUUGU